rnacentral:lncRNA from 1 species
CCAUAACCAGUAAAGUAUCUCCAUUAACUCCUGCUUUGCCAUUAUUUUAGCUUGAUGUUCCUUCCAUUUGAAUAUGUCAUUGGUCUCUCUUGCCUGAAAGUGUAUACCAAGUUUUCGCAGCAAGCCCUAACUUUUUUCACAAUCAAAGAAGGCAUGCUCGAUGGUUUCCUCCUUGUCACAUCUAGGGCACAUGUUCAUAAUUCUAAUCCCUUUCUCCUACAGUUUAGAUUUUACUAGGGGUGUAUUAUUCAAAAAUCUCCAU